GCAACCGGCCGGCCCGGCUCGGCGCAUUCGUAAACAAACCCUGGUUCAGUUCGGAGCAGCGAACACCCGAAGACCCCUUCACCCUUCACCAUCAGUGUAACACACUUGGGCUUCUUAUUUCAUCGAGACCGCCGGCACGGGAAAAUGUAGGCGAGCGGGCACCAGGUGCGGAGCGCGACAGUUUACCUGCACCCUACGGGGUCGGUGCUUGAACAAUCCGUACGCGACGACAGGCGUGAAUUAGAGUUCGAAAUACCUUUACACUUUGAACAAAUAUGAGGAGAGAACUUCGAGAUACAGUUUAGAGCAGACUCGUAGUUUGAUCCAAAACCGUCGACACCAUCUGCCUCCUCUAAUACCGCAUACUGAGGCACAGCAUUGGAAACAUUGGAAUCAAAAAGCAAAAAAUUCAAACAUGUAACGUAAGCCGCACCAACUAUAACAAAGACGGGAGAGGGAGAAAGAGUGAUAGAAGGGGCUAGUGAGAGAAAGAGAGAAAGAGGCUCUAUUCGUUCGCGGUCGUGUCCGCGGAUGAGAGAGCAGGGCGGAUGUUAACGUGGGUCUUGGCUCGAUUGUACCUUUUUGGGCGCCGUGACAGUUAGUACACCAUCCGAGGAAAGAGUCGAGGUGACAUUGACGAGAUCGUGAGAUGGUGGCAGGACGUAUCUGCGUAUGAAGUGCCUGCUGAUGUAGCCGUGCUCGUCUUGUCUCUCCUCGUGCUUGGCCUCGACAAUAACGUAGUUGUCGACUGUCUUCACCGUGAUCUCGUCCGGUGAGAAUUGUUGCACGUCCAGUAUCACCUGCGGAUCAGAGAGAGAAAGCGCGGCCCCGUGAGGAGGCCCCGGAAAUUAUUAGCUUCAUUCAAGAUCCUCUUUCCAAGAGCGUCAUCGAGGACAGAAAUUUCGCAUUCUUCUGAGAGCAAAGCGCAAACGCACAUCAUCGUUCUGGCCAUGCAUUCGCAGAGCGCAAGUUAAGUAUCAUUUCCCUGAGCGAGUUUACUCCGAGAAUUAUGGUUGUAUUUUGAACAAUAAGAUAAGCAAUUUAAUUUUUUUUUUGUCUCGCAAAUUAGUAUUUGUUUGUUGUGUUUCUCUUUCGAAUUAAAUUCUUCUUCGGAAGAGGAUCUCGAACGCCAUGCGUCCAUAGCGCAUAUAUUAAAACACACAGAGCUACUUUGCGCACAAUCCUUCCGGCAAACUAUUUGAAAUUCGUUUAAUUUGCAUUCGUUCUUCCACAUCUCCCGUUUAGGGAACCGCCGGGGUCGGUUCUGCCGAUCAGACACGGUUGUUGGAGUUUCUGCGACGAGGAAUGAAAAUGAUAAUUCGGCCAAUAUUCUAGACCCGUAGUCUUGACCGUCAAAUAAGCGUGUCGUAAAAGGCAUUUUUUUAUCUUUCAUUUUUCGAUUUUUCGCGACUCUUUCAUAUGUAAUUCCGCCGCGUCUCUUUAGAUCAUCGCGCAUUAAAGCGCGUUAAAUGGUACAAAACCAAAUCGGGAAGAUGUAGUUGCCAGGCGCACCUACUUGUGUGAGAUUGUUCCUUUUUUUUUUUAACGAAAAAAAAAGGAACAAUCAAAAAAAACGAAUUCAAAAAAAACGAGCAUACACACAUACAAGUAGGUGAUUUUUUUGUACUUAUCGCGAGUGCCGCAUCGGUCGUAACGGGAGCGAUCAGUCGCGACCGUGGUGGCCGAUACUUCUCGCGGCUAGCGAUUUGCUUUUUGACGGGAAUGAGAAAAAUUGCGAAAUACAAAAAUUAAAAAAAAACAUAAUACAUCAGAUGGGUAACACUCCGGCAUAGAGAGCAAGGAAGCUUCAACAACCGACGGUAAUAAAAUAGAGACGAAUCGAGUUUCUCCGGGUGAUCCUGCGUGAUCCUGGAACUUGGUGAGCGCGAGCGCGAAGUAAGUUAGUGGAGGAUGAUUGGCUGUGCAUUUCGAAAAUAGUACCAAAAAAAAAAAAAGAAUAGAAGAGGAGAGGAAAAAAAGAAGUUAUACGGAGUAACCGAUCCGUAAACGGUCGACUCGAGUGCUGCGCGCAGAGCGACAUAUUUUGUACAAAUAAAGAGAUAAAAAAAAAGGAUUCCGUGUAAGAGAAAAAAAAAAAACAAAAGGACAAAAGUCAAAUUUUGUACGAUUCUAUCUUGUUGAGGGUAUUCAAAAAAGCAUUUAUUUUUAUAUAGAGAUUAUAGCCAGAAGGACCGGGGCUUGAGGUUCGUUCGCGUGAGCCUGCGCCCCCUUCGAAAGGGGGGCGCGUCGGCUCGUCGGGACGACGCCGCGAGUCUCGGUUUUUUCAUUGAACAAGACUGAUUAAGCGCGACACGAUAAUAUAUAUAACGAUAACAAUCCACUCUUUCGGUUGCAUAUUUUAUUCCGUGGCUGCUGCGCGCGAUUUCUGCGUGCGACUUUGAACAUAGAAUGUAAAAAGUACAGCGGGAAAGAGAAUCAUUUCAGAGCUGCGGCAGGCAAACCGUACGCGCGAUCGCGCGAGGAAAAAAUAUCGCGGAAAGAGCGAAAAUAACAAAAAAAAA